rnacentral:rRNA from 1 species
GACGAACGCUGGCGGCGUGCUUAACACAUGCAAGUCGAACGAUGAAGAAAAGAAUCGAAGCUUCGGCAGAAAUUCAUUUCGGAUUAGUGGCAGACGGGUGAGUAACGCGUGAGCAACCUACCUCUUACAAAGGGAUAGCCUCGGGAAACCGGGAUUAAUACCAUAUAACAUUGCGACGAGGCAUUUCGAUGCAAUCAAAGCUACGGCGGUAAGAGAUGGGCUCGCGUCCCAUUAACCGGAUGGUGAGGUAACGGCUCACCAUAGUGACGAUGGGUAACCGGCCUGAGAGGGUGAACGGUCACACUGGAACUGAGACACGGUCCAGACUCCUACGGGAGGCAGCAGUGGGGAAUAUUGCACAAUGGAGGGAACUCUGAUGCAGCGACGCCGCGUGAGUGAUGAAGGAAUUCGUUUCGUAAAACUCUGUUCUAUGGGAAGAAAAGGACUGUACCAUAGGAGAAAGCUCCGGCUAAAUACGUG